rnacentral:rRNA from 1 species
GCAGAGCACUCCUAGGGAGGCAGCAGUGGGGAAUAUUGCACAAUGGGCGCAAGCCUGAUGCAGCCAUGCCGCGUGUAUGAAGAAGGCCUUCGGGUUGUAAAGUACUUUCAGCAGUGAGGAAGGUGGAUAUGUUAAUAGCAUAUUCAUUUGACGUUAGCUGCAGAAGAAGCACCGGCUAACUCCGUGCCAGCAGCCGCGGUAAUACGGAGGGUGCGAGCGUUAAUCGGAAUUACUGGGCGUAAAAGCGCAUGCAGGUGGUUUGUUAAGUCAGAUGUGAAAAGCCCGGGGCUCAACCUCGGAAUUGCAUUUGAAACUGGCAAACUAGAGUACUGUAGAGGGGGUAGAAUUUCAGGUGUAGCGGUGAAAUGCGUAGAGAUCUGAAGGAAUACCGGUGGCGAAGGCGGCCCCCUGGACAGAUACUGACACUCAGAUGCGAAAGCGUGGGGAGCAAACAGGAUUAGAUACCCUGGUAG